AUAGAUCCUGAAACCGCAUGCUUACAAAAAGUAGGAGCCUCGAAAGGGGUGACUGCGUACCUUUUGUAUAAUGGGUCAGCGACUUACAUUCAGUGGCAAGGUUAACCGAAUAGGGAAGCCGUAGAGAAAUCGAGUCCGAAUAGGGCGAUCAGUCGCUGGGUGUAGACCCGAAACCAAGUGAUCUAUCCAUGGGCAGGAUGAAGGUGCCGUAACAGGUACUGGAGGUCCGAACCGACUAAUGUUGCAAAAUUAGCGGAUGACCUGUGGAUAGGGGUGAAAGGCUAAACAAACUUGGAAAUAGCUGGUUCUCUCCGAAAACUAUUUAGGUAGUGCCUCAAGUAUUACCAUCGGGGGUAGAGCACUGUUUUGGCUAGGGGGUCAUGGCGACUUACCAAACCAAGGCAAACUCCGAAUACCGAUGAGUACAGCUUGGGAGACAGAGCACCGGGUGCUAACGUCCGGACUCAAGAGGGAAACAACCCAGACCGCCAGCUAAGGUCCCUAAAAUUGGCUAAGUGGGAAACGAAGUGGGAAGGCUAAAACAGUCAGGAUGUUGGCUUAGAAGCAGCCAUCAUUUAAAGAAAGCGUAAUAGCUCACUGAUCGAGUCGUCCUGCGCGGAAGAUGUAACGGGGCUAAGCCAGUUACCGAAGCUGCGGAUUUGCAAUUUAUUGCAAGUGGUAGGAGAGCGUUCUGUAGGCCUGUGAAGGUGGUGGUGUAAACCCUGCUGGAGGUAUCAGAAGUGCGAAUGCUGACAUGAGUAGCGUUAAAGGGGGUGAAAAGCCCCCUCGCCGUAAGCGCAAGGUUUUCUACGCAACGUUCAUCGGCGUAGAGUGAGUCGGCCCCUAAGGCGAGGCAGAGAUGCGUAGCUGAUGGGAAACAGGUCAAUAUUCCUGUACCGAUGACAAGUGCGAUGUGGGGACGGAGAAGGUUAGCUCAGCCAACUGUUGGAUAUGUUGGUUCAAGCCUGUAGUCGUGCUCGGUAGGCAAAUCCGCCGGGCUUAGAUGAGGGGUGAUAACGAGUGUGCUUGCACACGAAGUGAGUGAUACCCUGCUUCCAGGAAAAGCCACUAAGCUUCAGCUUGUCAUUGACCGUACCGCAAACCGACACUGGUGCGCGAGAUGAGUAUUCUAAGGCGCUUGAGAGAACUCAGGAGAAGGAACUCGGCAAAUUGAUACCGUAACUUCGGGAGAAGGUAUGCCCCUAUUAGGUGAACUUGAACAAAGGGAGCCGAACGGGGUUGCAAAAAAUCGGUGGCUGCGACUGUUUAAUAAAAACACAGCACUCUGCAAACACGAAAGUGGACGUAUAGGGUGUGACGCCUGCCCGGUGCUGGAAGAUUAAAUGAUGGGGUGCAAGCUCUUGAUUGAAGUCCCAGUAAACGGCGGCCGUAACUAUAACGGUCCUAAGGUAGCGAAAUUCCUUGUCGGGUAAGUUCCGACCUGCACGAAUGGCGUAACGAUGGCCACACUGUCUCCUCCUGAGACUCAGCGAAGUUGAAAUGUUUGUGAUGAUGCAAUCUCCCCGCGGAAAGACGGAAAGACCCCAUGAACCUUUACUGUAGCUUUGUAUUGGACUUUGAACAGAUCUGUGUAGGAUAGGUGGGAGGCUUUGAAGCCGGGACGCUAGUCUCGGUGGAGCCAACGUUGAAAUACCACCCUGGUGUGUUUGAGGUUCUAACCUAGGUCCAUUAUCUGGAUCGGGGACAGUGCAUGGUAGGCAGUUUGACUGGGGCGGUCUCCUCCCAAAGCGUAACGGAGGAGUUCGAAGGUACGCUAGUUACGGUCGGACAUCGUGAUAAUAGUGCAAUGGCAUAAGCGUGCUUAACUGCGAGACUGACAAGUCGAGCAGAUACGAAAGUAGGACAUAGUGAUCCGGUGGUUCUGUAUGGAAGGGCCAUCGCUCAACGGAUAAAAGGUACUCUGGGGAUAACAGGCUGAUACCGCCCAAGAGUUCAUAUCGACGGCGGUGUUUGGCACCUCGAUGUCGGCUCAUCUCAUCCUGGGGCUGUAGCCGGUCCCAAGGGUAUGGCUGUUCGCCAUUUAAAGAGGUACGUGAGCUGGGUUUAAAACGUCGUGAGACAGUUUGGUCCCUAUCUUCCGUGGGCGCUG
rnacentral:rRNA from 2 species